CAAUGCGUCUUUAUCUACAUACUCAUUUCCGUGUAUAAAAAUAAUAAUAAGGCAAGAGAUAAAAGUUAUUAUGACAUAUUUACGUUGUUACUUUAUUAAUCACCAUAAGUUAUAUGCGUGAACAACUGAAAUAAUUGUUAAUGAUUUGUAGUGGAACAUGAGUCAGAGGACAAUUCAAAUCAUGUUGUUGUUUUUUCUCGGAGUAUCAAGACCGUUAGAUUACAAGUAAUGUAAGAUCAAAUAAACUCCGGGCAAAACAUUGUCGCCGCUACAUGCAACCGUCGAAUGAAGACGAAUUUGAAUUUUCCGACUCUCCCCCGACCAGUAUAAAUAAACGAAAAUCCUCACGACCUACGUCCUCUUCACACAAACAUCUACAGAUUUAAAGGCAACCUGAGUAAUCUUUGAGGCAAAGAAUAUACCUUAGAUGAGCGAUCAACCCCUGCCAGGCCUUUGGACUUUGGAGGCCCAUCUACUAUUUAAAUGUAAAAAUAAGAACUAUAAAUUCUAUCAUUUAUAAUAUAUUUGAUAAUUUAAAUGCUUUUAACGAGUACUUCACUCAGCUAAAAUAUGAGUAUGCACAUUUUUAUAUGAAGAUGAAUAUAUAAAAAAUGAUCAAUAAUUUAAAUAUAGUUAUACAGAAGCAUUGGAGAAUAAGAAAAAGCGAAAUGUCGAAGAUCUCAUAAUGUCGAAGAUCUCGUAAUGAAUAUGUAUAUAAUGUAUAACAGGAAAGGUAAAACUUGAAACGCAAUCAGAACACAACAACGUGCACAUUUCUAAAGACUAAAAAACUGAAAAUGUAAAUUGUUUCAUAAUUAGUCUAGUAAACCUUGAGUUCUUGUUGUGGGCUUGGACUAUGCAUAACUGAACGUGAUAUGUUGCCCAUCUGAACAACAAUUCUUUCCAUGGCUGCUUCCGUCUCGACCAAACGUCGUCUCAGUUGAUCUAUCUCUAUGUCUCCUGCCGCUUCUUGUGUUCCAGCAUGUAUAACAUUACCAAACGUGUUCAGAGAAUAUACACGAAUACUUACAAUAUUUUUAAUUUUAGUCUAACAGUUUUUUGUUAAAUUUAUGAUAUAAAUACGUGUGUGUUCUAAUUGUGCAAACCUUGCAUCAUGCAACACCAUUUAAAAAUCUGAUUAGAUACUCAAAAAAACAUGUACCUUAUUUUUCAGUAUUUCUUUAAAGGAACUAGCUUUCAAGGAAAACACUGCAUUAAUGAUAAUGUAAAUCAAGUGUUGUCAAUAUCUCUCAAACAUUUAAAGAACUUACGGUCCUUUAAUUCCUCUAUGGUAGGUGGCCUUUGUGGUGAUGGGGACCUCUCCUUUUGAUAAUGCAUUGUACCACCAGUCAUU